CUCAACGGAUAAAAGGUACUCCGGGGAUAACAGGCUGAUACCGCCCAAGAGUUCAUAUCGACGGCGGUGUUUGGCACCUCGAUGUCGGCUCAUCACAUCCUGGGGCUGAAGUAGGUCCCAAGGGUAUGGCUGUUCGCCAUUUAAAGUGGUACGCGAGCUGGGUUUAGAACGUCGUGAGACAGUUCGGUCCCUAUCUGCCGUGGGCGCUGGAGAACUGAGGGGGGCUGCUCCUAGUACGAGAGGACCGGAGUGGACGCAUCACUGGUGUUCGGGUUGUCAUGCCAAUGGCACUGCCCGGUAGCUAAAUGCGGAAGAGAUAAGUGCUGAAAGCAUCUAAGCACGAAACUUGCCCCGAGAUGAGUUCUCCCUGAGACUUUAAGUCUCCUGAAGGAACGUUGAAGACGACGACGUUGAUAGGCCGGGUGUGUAAGCGCAGCGAUGCGUUGAGCUAACCGGUACUAAUGAACCGUGAGGCUUAACCUUACAACGCCGAAG
rnacentral:rRNA from 1 species